CGCGCAAUGUGCGUUUAGCAUUCGCCGCUCCAAAGGCAGUUUUCGCACUUUUACGCAUGUUGUUUCUUUUUUUUUUCGGUUGCCAAAAAGAGCUCUCCCAUCCCCACGGCCGCGUAGGUGUGUGUGAUACAGAGCAGGGGCUGUGAGGAUCCUUUAGUAGGGUCAGGCGUUUGGUUCGUGCGCGUCUUUUAAGGGUUGUGUGCGCGCGCAUAUGUAUUUAUAUACGUGUGCGAGGGGGCAGGGUGGUGGUGGAUCGAACCUGUCCACUGCGCUGCUGCACGAACUUCAGGAGAACUAAUUCCAAGUGGCACUUGAAUUGGUCCCGUUGGAAAGCUCCGUGGACUGGAAGUAAAGGCUGGUAUUUUCAUGCUGGUGUUAAAACUAACCUCCCCCCUGCCCUCGCUCUCUCUCUCUCCCACACACACACGCACACGAACGCGCACGCACGACCCCAAAAUUAAGUUGAGAGCGCAGGCUUAGCAGCACAUAUGCAAAGCCUCCUACCUGACUGGGGUCCUGGUGCAGCAAUUUGGGUGAUCACCAUUCAAGCCGAGGCUGGAGGUAUUAUCCAGCAUUAUGUUUUGGAGGAGCCUUGUUUGUUUGGGAAUAGCCCUCGCAGGCAAUUCGGAAAUCACUCCUAGGAAAAAGACUGGAGGUGAAAUGUAAAACCUGAAUGGGGAUUGAGGGGGGGAAGAGUCAGUGCUAAUUCACAUUCUUUAUCGCGGCUUUUGUUUACGCUAAGCAUGUAAUUAACACCCCCCAAACAAGUUUAUUCACCUGCCGUAAUUGUGUGUUUAUCCGAGGGCUCGCUGAAUGUUCCGAGCAGCGGGGGACGAGAGCUCUGAAAGCGCAUGGAGAAUUUAGCGUCUUCUCCGUUUACUUACGGGCCGAAACUCCAGACACGACAUCGCAGACAACAUUUUGCUCUCUGGAAAACACUGAAGAUGUUUUGGUCGAUGAGACGGAGAAGCCACGCUGUCUGUUUUUAAAAAAAAAUCACUUUGUUUGAAAAAUAUGAAUUAAGUUUGUGUUGCUCUUAAACUAAUAUUUAUCCAAGUUGCACGCAAGGGAAGUUACUGGUUAAAUGCCAAUUAGAUAAUUUUCACUCUGUGCCAAUAAAAGGGGAGCAGAUAAACAAAAGCGUGGCGUUACGUCAUGUAUGGGAGUGAGGGAAAGAGAAGCACACCGGAUCACAGAAAGAAAGAAAAAAGGUGUUGACUGUAUAAGAGGCUGGCCAGAAACGGCAGCACACCCCUCCCUGGCAAACACAGGCAAACGCAGGACAGACUCCAUCCUGGAUUCAUCUGCACCAUUCACGAGACGGCACUUUGGAGCUGCGACGGAGCCGUGUGUCGGGUCCGGUCCACGGACUAUUGCCAUUCGAGCUCGGGACUGGACGUGACAUUGCUCCACUGCUAUUUCUCUGGUUAACGGGUCCAACAUCAGGAUGGAAAUCCAACCGCUGCUCGCCCUUCUCGCUAUUUUUGAUUCACCGAGCACCGGGCGGACCGGUGCGUUUGGCGAGCAGAUGUGUGCUGCUGUCGGCACUGGGCGCUCAGACCCCCUCCGUCCCACGCCGGCCAAUGUACCCAGACCCACUGCGUCUACACUGUAAGAAGUGUCAAUCUGACCAAGUCAUUCUAGCCUUGCACCUAUAAAUGUUAAAAGUUAUAGCUGACAACGUGUUAAAUCUCCAACAACGACCGAUGGCCGUUUCUUAAUACCUUUGGUGGUGACCUUUUCGAAAAAGGGCAAUUUUUAUUAUUAUUAUUGUGCAAUGCGUGUAAUGCGUAAUAGCCAGAAUUGGCAGAAUUUUGUAGUGGAAUAAAUAUUGUACAAUUCUGAAUAAAGUGUGUUAAUAUUUUUUUGCAGUGCAUAAUCUCUAGGUCUCAGGUAACCUGUUACUGCGGAAGCAAUGUCGUUGUUCAACCCUUUUGAAGCCUAAAAUAACGCGCGACUAUAACGAUUAAGUCUGUAAACAGCUGCCAACUUGUACAUUCGGGUGCAAUUGGUCACCCCAUGUGUGUGGGAGCAUUUAAUACAACAACGCCUCUAUUUGAAAUGAAAUAAAUAGACGCUGUAAUUUCUUAGUGAUAGUUUGCACAAUUAUCUAUAAAUGUGCCGCACAACUUUACUGGAAAAGCGUGUGCAAAAAGUUUUUAACACCUCUCCCUCUCUUCCUCUCUCCCUCUUUUUCCCUCCCUCUCCCCCCUUUCUUUUAUUGUUUUUAUUGUGUGGUCUCAUUAGGGGGACUUCCUGGCAGGGCUGGGAGCUUGUAUCGGAGCUGUCCAAUCAGUGUAUUUACACGGGUUGUUAGCGACAGUUAAUGAGGGCUCCUCCCCGGGCCGGUAGAGAAAGGCGCCUCGACAUUAAGAUUUACCUUGUGUCAACUCGUUACUUCUAAUGAACCUCCAUGCAAAAGCCUCCUCGUACUCAAUGGAGCCGUGCGCCCGGAUCUUGUGUGUGAGACCCUGGAAGAGUGGAGCUGCAUGGACGGCCUCCCUCUCCCCCCUUUUCAUCCGCUCACUUGGGGAGAGUCGCUUUUUUUUCUUCUUCCCUCUGCAUGUCAGGGCUGUGAUGCAUGCACACAUGCCUGUUGGUGCGCGGUCGCGCCCGCGCGCGCGCGCGUGUGUCCAGUGCAGUGUGGGUGGUGCAUUGCAACCAUGCUCUCAAUAAGGACGCGACGGUGGCAGACACCCCAACUCGUUCUCCCAACUUCCCACGUGCUGACGCCGUGGCCUCGUGUCCUCAACAAUGGAACAAUGUGGUGAUAGUGUGCUGUAAAUUAACACGCCGCCUUAAGACAAUGAAGUCAAAUGUGUUGAAACUCACCCCGGGUUUUUAAAGAUUAUUGUCCGGUCGUCGCCGCGUGAGAGGGGACAGAGGGACAGCAUCAACAAGCCCGAUGUGUCUUCCAUUGUUGGCUGAAUGACGCUUGACAUGCCCGCUUGCUGCCUCUGCAGAGGCAAGUUCGUUUCUAAUCACUCUCCAUCCCCCAUCAGAGCGCCGAGCUCGGCCCAGGCUCUGGCCCCUCGUCCCCCCCCUCGCCCCCUCGCCUGGCCCCCAGUGUGGCUUGGUGAGCCGCAUCAGCAACACAUCACCGCCCCUCAAUUCAGGUACAAACUGGAGGAGUUUGGCGGAUCCCUGAAGUGGACUCCCCUCUUGCUCCUCUAACCCACAGAGACACCACUUAAAAAUCAAUUAGGCCGGUUUGGUCUCCCCCUCCCUGCCAGUCACAAUUUCCAAAAUAGGUGUGUCCCACAAACAUUUUGGAGGGACUUAAAAGUAAAAGCUAUGGUCCUUCUGAAUUCUCUCUGCCUUCAUUGGCUCAUUUGUCAUUAGUCUACACAAAGUAAAAGCGCCCCAUGUGCCCGUAUCAAAGGCCUUCAUGUUCUCGCCGCGUCGCCUCUUUCACCCUCCGUCCCCGGCGUUAAAGAGCUGCAGCGCUGGAGGAGGCGGUGUGUUCACUCUUCCAGGUAGACGAGCUGAUUUGGAGACAGAAGCAGAGACGGAGAAAUAAAUAAUAGGCGCAUAUCAGAUGCGUUGCCCCGAGCUUUACAUAUGAUGCUCACCUCCCAGUGACUUUGUUGAAGAGCAAAAAGAAGACCUCCACUUUCUCUCGAGUCGACAUGCAACCCUGAGCGAAUCCCUGUGCGUCGCCCAUCUGCACGCCUAUAAAAGUGCCCUGUGGACUCAGGGGAGGUAACACGAUGGCCACAGUUACAUCAGCGCAAAUGUUGAGAGAAUUUCUCCCCGAGUUUGGACUUGGCUGAUUAAGCGGCACAUCUCUUAUGGAUAGGAGCUAUAAACAGGCCGUCAUUACUCUCAACGCUUGCUGUGGUUGGACACACCGGCAACUUACACAGAGUCGAGGCCACGACCUCAGACAUUACAGACGUGAAACAGCCUCUUAUUAGCAUUGAAUGACGUGAAUGAAAACCGCUGUGAUUGACAGAGAAAUCAGAAAGAGUAAAGUAACUUUGUAUAUUUGCAAUUAAGAUACAUGUACUUCUACUCAGCACCAUUUCUGAAAGGACACUUUCAUCCUUGUCAUGGAGUCGUAUCAAGGCUGUCUUUACUUAACUUCUUCCAGUAAAGACAUUUACAUAUAAUAAAGACAAAAAUGACAAACUGUCUAUAAAUAGGCUGCUCAUUUUUCAUCAGUAAUGGAAGUGGAGUAACUAACCCUAAGCCUAUAGCUGCAGGCAGCUUUAGGGUGGUGUUUCCAUGUUUUGUUACAAAAGAGGGAAACGUACUUUUUAACUUCACCAUUAUCUUAAAUAUUUUUAUAGUUCAGAUCUAACUGAAGAAUGUAUAACAAUUUAAAUAUGUAUUUAUAGAAUAGUUGAAAUAGUCCCACUUCUAAAACAUCAAUUACUGUUCUACAUUACACAUAAACGUCAGGUUUAGCUUUAUUAUUACUACUUUUCCCUAAUGUUAAAUGUCUAAGUACGACCACUACACUUGAUAUUUCAGUAUAUCGUGAAUCUAAAUCGUUCACACCUUGUGGUUUAACUCCUCUCACAACAAUUUCUCCCUAUGCAGGUAAACUGUAUUUAGUAAUCCACUCAUGUGAGUGAUCCAUAGAUCCCUAUCGAGGGCCCCUCUGUCUCUCCCUCUUUUCUGUGUCCGUGUGAAGGUCACAGUCACCGAAUCACCCACG
ensembl:lncRNA